rnacentral:rRNA from 1 species
AGAGUUUGAUCAUGGCUCAGAACGAACGUUAGCGGCGCGCCUAACACAUGCAAGUCGAACGCGACAGGGGCAACUCUGUUGAGUGGCGCACGGGUGAGUAACACGUAGGUAAUCUCCCCUCGAGUGGUGGAUAACCUUCCGAAAGGAGGGCUAAUACAGCAUAAGACCACGGUGUCGAAAGACAUUGAGGUCAAAGCGGAGGAUCGCAAGACUUCGCGCUUGAGGAUGAGCCUGCGGCCCAUCAGGUAGUUGGCGGGGUAAAGGCCCACCAAGCCUAAGACGGGUAGCUGGUCUGAGAGGAUGAUCAGCCACACUGGAACUGAGACACGGUCCAGACUCCUACGGGAGGCAGCAGUGGGGAAUCUUGCGCAAUGGACGAAAGUCUGACGCAGCGACGCCGCGUGGGUGAUGAAGGCCUUCGGGUUGUAAAGCCCUGUGGGGAGGGACGAAUAAGUUGCGGCUAAUACCCGCAGCGAUGACGGUACCUCCUUAGCAAGCACCGGCUAACUCUGUGCCAGCAGCCGCGGUAAUAC